UUAUUACUUACAAUACAUUCGUCAUGUAUAUAUAUUAAUUAACCAAAAGCACCACAGUGGAAAUUGGACGUAACACCGACGUAGGUAAUCGCAUCAUAAUGUUAAGGUGGGCGGGUAUUUGGCUUGACAAGAAGACAGACGAUGGACCAAAGCAAUCACAGAAUGGUGGCCAAGAGGAGGCAAAAAGGCCAGUGGGCAGACCACCAGCCCGAUGGUCUGAGAUUUGCGGGAUCGCGCUGGAUACUAAUGGCGCAGGAGUCUCAUGUGGGGAUCGAAUAUUGGCUCUAUAAAGAAGAAGCCCAUGCCCAGCAGUGGGUUGAUGUUAGCUGACCAUGAUGAUGAUGAUGAUGAUGACCAUCAACACCUUCACUUUGAAACCGCUGGCAGUCCUCUCAAUACUCUUCAUAUCAGCAACCUGUACCCUCAUUCACCAGAUACCAGUACCAAUUCUUUUACAACAAAUCGUACCACAAAUUUUGCCUCAACACAAUCCUAACUACAACUUCGCGUACAGCGUGAACGAACCUCGAACAGGAGACAUUAAAGACCAACAAGAAAGCAGAAGAGGUGAUACUGUCGUUGGGCAAUAUUCUUUAAUCCAACCUGAUGGUGUCAGAAGAACGGUUGAUUAUCGUGCUGAUGGCAUCAGAGGCUUCCGAGCUACAGUGAACAAUGAAAGGCAGAAUGAGAGACAAAUAGAAAAUUACGACGAGCAAAGAGAGAUAGAUGACCAGAGAGUAAUCGUGCAUCCUCAAAUUCCACAAAUGCAAAUUUCUACCCCGUUACCAGCGUUGUCUAGGACAUCGAUAAUGCAGACAUUCCAAACCAGCCGUCCUGUCCAAUAUCAGAACAGUCUAUGGGAUUAAAACAAUUUACUUUAGUUUGACUAGUGAUAUUUGGACCCUGAAAUGGUAACCGUAGAAUUGAUUUCGAAACCUAACUUAUUUGUUUUUAACAAAGUAAUGGCACAAAAACGCGACGAAACAUGGACACCGAUUCUUUGAUAAACAUUGCAAAUUACUAUAACUAUGUAUACUUUUCAAAUAGAUAUAAACACAAAGUGUGUUCGUAGAAACUAUUUAAAAAAAAAUCAAUUAACAAACGAAGGAUUCUACAUUUUAGGUCAACAAAAUGUACAUGUUAUACAGCAUUAAUUUGCAUUUACUCGUAAACCGUAUUUAAAUUCAACUUCUAGAUUUGUCUUUGCAACUUUGCAAUUGGAAGUCCCUUAUUUCCCUUUUAAAAUGCAUGAAGGCUUUGGGUCUUUGUGGAGAAUGAUAAUUAGUUCAUAAUUGGUGACUGGAGUGGGUAGCCUUGUGGUUUUACUGAGUCAGGGAAAUUGCCUUAGCAAUGUCCGAGAAGUGUAAUGCCUUGGCUAGGAUAUAAAUGCUUCCAUUUAUCUUUCUGUAUAUGUAUUGUGUUAGUUUGAUGAAAUAAAAUAAAACUUUUGAUAUUAUAUUGUUGACGUUUUUACUUUAUCACAAAUGUGAAAUAUAUUUAUGUGGACAAUGAUAAUCUUGGCAUUAGAAAGCACCUUCUUGGACUUGGAUGUCUAAAUAUCACAUCUUGUCUGAAAUUUCUUGCUCUAAUUUAUUGUUGGUUUGACAGUAAGUGGCCUUUGAAAUUUGUGAGAAUACGUAAGGUUUAUGAUCCAUGCUAAUGCGUUCUGUUAUAAGCUCUAAAAAAGCUAUAAAAAAAUAGGCUGUACAUAUCUCAUUUUAACCGAGCAUCAGUGAAGCCAUAACGAUUACACCUUCCACACGAAAACAACAAUUUAUUAGUAUUCACUUAUUCUCUAUAUAGAGUAAACAAUUUGCUGAGACCUUUUACUGGGGAGCAUCGGCCCUAUGUGAACUUGACUUUUAGACAUUUCCUGAAGUUCUUAAACGAGUUGCUCGAUAUAAAACUGGAUCUGGAAUAAAUAAGGAUUGUAUAAAAAGAUUGAGAUGAUCAGCGGAAAGCAUCAGACAUCAACAAUCAGUCGACGUAGUCACAACUACAUUUCUACCCCAAAAAUGGUUGCGAAGUUCGUCCUCAUUCUCGCCCUCGUGGCCGCCGCUACCACUUCCGAUAUCUCCAGCUUCUCGUACGGUGUCGCUGACCCUUACACCGGCGACUUCAAACAUCAGACAGAAACCCGCGCUGGUGACAAUGUU